rnacentral:rRNA from 1 species
CAGCCCCUCGAGUGGUGGGGAUGAUUAUUUGGCCUAAAGCGUCCGUAGCCGGCCGUGUAAGUCCCCCGUUAAAUCCAGCGUCUCAAGCGUUGGACUGCGGGAGAUACUGCUCGGCUAGAGAGUGGGAGAGGUCAGCGGUAUUCUGGGGGUAGGGGCGAAAUCCUUUGAUCCCCGGAGGACCACCAGUGGCGAAGGCUGCUGACUAGAACACGUCUGACGGUCAGGGACGAAAGCUGGGGUAGCGAACCGGAUUAGAUACCCGAGUAGUCC